UAUGUGAUCGUCUCUCGCAUAUCAAUAAGCGGAGGAAAAGAAACUAACAAGGAUUCCCCUAGUAACGGCGAGUGAAGCGGGAAGAGCUCAAAUUUGAAAUCUUAAAGGGUUUCCCUUUACGAAUUGUAGUUUAAAGAAGUGUUUUCUGUUGAGGUUUUGGUAAAAGUUCUUUGGAAUAGGACAUCAUAGAGGGUGAGAAUCCCGUAUUUGACCUUUACUUUCAACUUUGUGAUACACUUUCAAAGAGUCGGAUUGUUUGGGAAUGCAGUCCAAAAUGGGUGGUAAAUUUCAUCUAAAGCUAAAUAUUGGCGAGAGACCGAUAGCGAACAAGUACCGUGAGGGAAAGAUGAAAAGAACUUUGAAAAGAGAGUUAAACAGUACGUGAAAUUGUCAAAAGGGAAGCGUUUGACACCAGUGUUGUUUUUCUGAAAAUCAAUUAAAGAACUGUUUAUGCUAAGCUGUUUAGACUUUAUCAGCUAACUGUUUAGUUUUGAGCUUUUCUUUAAUGCACUUUUCAGUUAACAAGUCAACAUCAAUUUCUUUUGCUGUAAAAAAGCUUGAGGAAGGUGGCUUGAGAUUCGUCUUAAGUGUUUAUAGCCUCUUGCCUAUGCAGUCGGAGAGAAUUGAGGUCUGCAGCGUAGAUCCUUCGGGGCUAAAUGCAUUUGUGCUAAGUUAUAGGCAUUUUAUAGACAACUUGUUGACUAUGAUUUGUCUUGUAGCUUACUCGCUUAUGUUAUUUUACCUACGCUUAGGAUGUUGAUCUCUCACAGUCGAGC
rnacentral:rRNA from 1 species